CUUUGUCAAGCCAGUUUGAUUUUAAUAAUCCAUGUUUUUCAGCCAAAGACAUCUUAAUUGAUCCAAGGAUGAUACAAUUUGUACUCUAAGUAUUUUUGUUGUCCAUUUCACAAGCAUUCUGUGGAACAUGAAAGAAAAGAAGCCCCCUCAUCUUGCAGCUUUUUACAUAGCGCUGAGAAAGCCACUAGGCACUUACUGUAGGUAAAAAUGAGGUAUUGUACUGAGAUGGUUUUGCAGCAAUAUAAUUUUAUAUGGAAUAAAAGAAAAUCAUGCUUAAGCAAUGAAUAUUGCCUAUAAUUUCCAUUUUGUUUUUAUUUUUGUCCCAGUUUAUCUCCUGAGAGCCUUGUAUGUCACUUUUAGACUUAUCAGAAUUGACAAGAUGACUUAAGAAAUUUCCUGACCCCUGGUCUUGUCCACUGUUAUGAAACCAAUGAAAUGCUUCUAGAUUUUCAUUUUACACACAGAGGUCAGCAAAUUUCACUUAACAGACGACCCUUUUAAAAAACUAACUUCCAGGUUCAGUCUAAUAAAUUAGUGCCCCCUUCAGAUUUAAAAACUGUUCUCUUUUGACAUUAAUUCAAGAAGUUCUUUAAGAAUCUUUUGGUAUCAAAAUUGGAAUCCAUUACAUCCUGUGACAAGAUAUGCAUCAAUUGCCCUUCAUUUCUCUGGCAAGUUUUUCCUAUAUAUAAUUUAUGAAUUUAUGUGAAAUCCCCAUACAUUUUGUACUUCAAGAAGUAUCUCUAGCAACUUUGUUUUUAGAUCCACAGAGGGUCUUUUAGACAUUCAACUGAACUCUGGAUUAUUUCUUGCUAGGUAGAGAAUUCUCCUUCAUUGUUUCCAAAUUUCUUUCCAGUGCUUUGCUCAUAUUCAAUUUGACACUAAAUCUUCAGCAUCAAGGCAGAUAUUUCAAACUUUAUUUGGCUUCAACCUGUAUGCAAUCUGAUUCAGACUGACUGAUGACAUCUUAUAUUUCUUGGGGACUACCAAUGUUUUUCCUAUUAUUCAAUCUAUCAAUUACUCCAUAUGAUUUUGUAAUAAAGGCAGACAGAUUUCCACAGACUGCUCUCUCACUGAACUUUAAAUAAAGCAGCAAGUGUUGUAUACUAUUUCUACUUUCAAAAUUGCAUCUAAAAAUUCACAAAAAAACAACACCUAAAUAAAUCCAAGCUAAGUUGUCAGUUUGUUUAUUCUGAGUCAUUGAUCCCUGACAGACUUCAGAUUGUCAGUAUCAGAUGUUACUAUUAAGCAUGAUCAAAAUUGCCCUUGCCCAUUUUGACAACCUCUCAGUUAUCUUCUGCAUCUUUAUUGCUUCCUAUGAACAUUUUCACUAACAUACUGAUUUGAUUAGAUGGCACAUCAAAGCCAAGAUUUUAUGGAGAUUAAUGAUUAAAGAUGCAAUCUGUAAUUAAACCUGUAAUUUUAGAAUGUGUUCAUGGAAAAGACAGAGAACUGAGAUGGAGGUUUUGCAAGGAGUCUUCACAGGAUAUACACCUAUAUUAAAGCCAGGAUUGGGAACAAGGAGAAGCUUAAUUUUAAUGUGGUUGCACCUGAGACCUCAGUAGAGUCCACAGGUUGGUGAAGUUUGCUCUGAAAAGCUUAAACUAGCCUUUUGGAGUUCUCUUAAAUUGAAGGGAAGACUCAGGCAAUUGUGUCAACACACAAAGUAAUCACUGGCUGUCAAGCCCUCCACCAGAAAGAAUGUAAUAUUGGGUUAAGCAGUUUCUUGAUGCUGAUAGCAAUUCCUGCUGAGUGAAGCACCUGGUAUAGUAGCUGGGAGAUGAGUGUUUCACAUUGAAGUAGGAAUGCGGACAGUGCACCAGUUGCUUCUUAAGGUAAUUUCUCCCAUCUGGGAACAACUACUCUCAUGUUUGCUUGUUCUUACUUCAUGGGUUAGUGUUAAAUAUUAUAGUCCCCAUCACUAACAUUGGUCUUUGAGAUAGCUAUUACUCGUCAAUUAGCUCCUCUUCUAUCUUAUUUAGAGUCCCCUCACACUCAGCUAGUAACUCACCUGGUUUAAAUGGCUUUCUUGGUGUGUGUACCAAGAUUCUUAUCCCUAGGGGAAUAGGGGCCAUAUGUUACCAUCCCUUUCUCAGGCUAUGGCUGCUGUACUUAUUUAUUUAUCCUUAAAUCUAAGCACAGAAGCACCAAGAGGUAACCCAUUAUCACUGGUGUGCCAAACAUAUUCUUACCUACCAAACUCCUUAGGAUAAAGGACAAGUACCCUUUGCCAGCAUGGCAACUCCUUUUCUUGCCUCUUGGUCAUUGGUACAUAUUACUGAGUAGUAAGAGCUUAAAUUUUGGUGGGUCUUUACCAAAGUGUCUGAUGGAAGUGACCACCAUCUGGAAACAGGUUACUUAGAUGGAAAAAGCAUAAAAUCUUAUAGGGUUGGAAAACAUACCUUAAGCAGAACAAUGAGCGUGAGGUUAAGUGGGGCCACCCCUACUUGCACAUGUUGGUUCCCAGACCCAUGCAUUCUGCCUACUGAGGACACAACACUUAAUUUAUGGUAAUUACCACACCAUGGAGGAUGGUGCCCCAUAUUUUUAGAUUAUAACCCCUAAAUCUAUGCCUGAGCUAUGUUUUUAAGAGGCUAUCUCAGUGUCCUUUCAGGCUGGAAGUUUGCAUGUGGCUGUGGAGUGUUAAGCUUCACUAUAGUCCUAUAACAAUUUGUCACUUCCAGAUCUCCUUAGAAUCCUGAGACGAACUGUGAAGGAUCCUCUGUCCUUUUUAUCAGAUACUCUGUUAGCCCUUGGAUGUUGUGGUGGCCAAGGUCCUGAGAGAAGAGAAGGGAAACCUAUACCCUUUAUCCGGUCAGUCCUGGUCAAGAUGAAUCUCUGCCCCUUUCAGAGUAGAAAGUGCUCAAUCUAGCCAAUUCGUCUCCUGAAAAAUUGUGCCAUAUUGGAAAGCUUAUUCUCUGUUUCUGGCAGUUUGAGGCAUUUACCUGUAGCAGUAACUACAUUAGUGUUGGUGAGUUGAAGCCUAUGCUAUUAAGGCCAUGCAUAGCCUUCUUCUCUGCCUCCACUGACACUCAUGAGCCCAUGCUGCCAGCAAUCAGGUGGCCUGUCUUCUCCGUUCAGAUAUUUUAUGAUUCUUCUGUAGUGGAUGCUUUCUAGUGUGAGUUAACAUGAGAUACAAAGAUCUUCCCGUAUUGAACAUACCCUAUUUAUCCAUUCAUAUGCUUAUUCACCUUGAUUUUUCAACAUUACUUGACCUUGGUUUUUCAACAUUUCUCUUUCAAGGUCCCUAACCAACGAAGCUAUAUGCCACUGACCAUGAGAUUGUGGACAUUGUUAUUUUGGACCAUUUCUUUAUCCACACAAAGGGGCUGACCAGAUGAAAUGCUAGGAACUCUGCCAAAUGGGAGGAUUUUCCCCUCAUUUCUCUUUCAGAGACACAACUGAGUAAAGUUCAGUAUAGUAUCAUUCAAGUUUUGAUUCAAGCUAACAUACUUAGCCAAUCUGUCCAGAAACCAAGUCUGGACUUUUCCCUUCUCUGUCAACUGGUUAUGAAGCUACUAUAGAGGUCACAGAAGUGAGCUGAUGCAGAAGCACUCACGCAACUUUAGUAUAAGAAAUGGGAUUGUGUCUUGGCUAUUGUGAAUAGCACUUGCAAUGAACAUAGGUGGGCAUGUAUUUUUUCGAAUGAAAGAUUUGUCAAGAUAUAUGCCCACAUGGAAACAGCCUAAAUGUCCAUCAACAGAUGAAUGGAUUAAGAAGAUGUGGUAUACAUACACAAUGGCAUACUACUCAGCCACAAAAAGAACAAAAUAAUGUCAUUUGCAGCAACAUGGAUCGAGCUAGAGAUUCUCAUAUUAAGUGAAGUAAGUCAGAAAGAGAAAGACAAAUGCCAUACGAUAUCUCUCACAUGUAUAAUCUAAUUGGCACAAAUGAACCUAUCUAUAGAAAAGAAACAAAGUCAUGGACUUGGAUAACAGACUCAUGGUUGCCAAGGGGGAGGGAGAGGGAGUUGGAUGGACUGGGAGUUUGAGUGGAUAAGCAAUGAGAUCUUACUGUAUAGCACAGGGAUCUACACCCAACACUUGUGAUGAAACACAAUGGAGGAUAAUGUGAGAAAAAGAAUGUAUAUGUAUGUAUAACUGGAUCACUUUGCUAUACAGCAGAAAUUGACAGAACACUGUAAAUCAACUAUAAUAAUUUUUUAAAAAAAACAAAACAAAAAGAAAAGAAAUGGGAUCAGACCAUCUGCUUGCAUAUUUUCUUAAGAAUUCUGACUCUGCUCAUGUCUAAAUCUCAAACAUGCCACUUCCAAUUCAAGAUAGAACACUUCUGAGUUCUCCUAAUCUUAUGAUUUGGAGGGUCUCACAGAACUGAUUCAUGUUGGGCAGUUGAUGUUUCAUGGUUAGAUGCUCCAUCUUGAGAAGCAUCCAGCAGUACAUCAGAAAAGUUGUCUUUUUUCUACAGAAAACCAAUAAUCUACUAUUCUGAUUCUGCUAUUGGAAUUUUCUGUAAAUUCUACAUAAUACUUUUGCAUAUCACAGAAGCUAUAAAUAUAAGAUCUGCCAGGCUGCAUGCCCAGUUGGUAGAAAUAUAGGUAUCACAGCCUAAACUUGUUGCACAGUCCUUUCGGUCUGGGCUCUGCUCAAAGUUAGCAACCUUCUGUGCCACCCAGUAAAUGGCUCAGAACAAUAUUCUUUUGUGCAAAAUAGGGAGUACAGCCAAAGCACCACAGAGUUUGUUUAGCUAGCUUACCCAACACAAUGAUGCCAAUAUGACCCCAGAUUCUUUUUUUAAUUCCCUAUGUUUUCAGUGCUGUACUAUAGAAUUUCUCUUCAAAAUCAAAAGCAUUUGUGACAAAGAAAAGGAAACAACUGGUUACAUUUAGAUUCAAUUGUGGAAUGAUCAGAUGAGGGACUUCCAUAAAUGACUAAUAUAAUAAAUUAAUGGGAUAGUCAACUCAACAAAAUAAAUUAAUCAUUUAUGGUGGCAAUGAUAGGGAAACAUCCUGGAUCACUGAAACAAUGAACACUAAAUCUGCAAGGCCAAGGUAUUACAGCUGAAGUGCUAGGAAGGGAAUAUACAAUUAUGGAGCAAAUAUCUAGUUUCCAUUCUAUCACCCGCCACCUCUCCUUCUUUGUUUUCCUUUUUUUGACAAAUUAAACUACUGAAGACUCUUGCAUUACCAAGGGAGUUAUUUUGGCUGGUAACAGAGGUCAUUUUUUCUAGGAAUCUACUAAAAAUUUCCAGAAAGAAAAUUGCCUAAUUAAACUACUGUUAAUACUGACCUUGUGCCACAUUUAUAUUUAUUUAUAUUCUCUAGGCAAAAAUAAAAGCAAAUAAAUUAAAGUAAAACAGAUCACUCAUAUGCUUGGAGAUAAAUGGUAUGAUUGAUGAACUGAAAUUACUCAUCAAGUUAUGGAACUAUGAGAGCAGAAGAUGUCUUGGAAAGUGAUCACUGGCAUAGGUGGAAUGUGAGAGGAAGAGGUAGGCAAGGGCUAAAUAGGAAAGGACUUUGAUGCAUUUCUGAAAAGAAAAGAGUUUUCUCAUUUGGGACAAAUGACUAAUAAAUUUUAUUAUUUUUCUUUUUCUGAACCCUGAAAGACUGCUAAUGAUUUUUAAAAAUUGAGUUGAAAUUUAGAUGCAUUAAAAUUUACCAUGUAGUGUAUAGUUCUCUGACUUUUGAUAAAUGUAUACAAUCAUAUAUCUGCCACUAAAAUCAAAAUGCAGAGCAUUUUCAUCACCACCAAUAUUUCCUCCAUGCCCAUUAGUAGUUAACCCCUCCUUUGAUUCACAGCCCAUAGUAAUGACUGAUCUCUUUUGCAUCCCUAUAGGUUUGCCUUUUCCAGAAUAAUACAUAAAUGGAAACACACAAGGAUUUAUUCAUGUUAUUGUUUUGUUCAGCAAAUCACUGUUGAUAGUUGAGAAUAAUUUCACUGUAUGGAAGUACCACAAUUUGUUUAUCCAUUUUCCAGUUGAAAAACAUUUGAAUUAUUUCUAGUUUUCAGUGACUGUGAAUAAAGUGUCCAUAAACAUGCACGUGCAGACUCCUGUGUGGACAUGUUUUAUUUCACUUGGAUAAAUACCUAGGCUGAGAAGUACUGUAUGGUAAGUGUAUAUUUAAUUUUUUAAGGAACUUCCAAACUCUUUCCCAAAGUUGAAUUUUUGAUUCCCUUCAAAAAAUGUAGGAAGUUCCAUUGUUCCUCAUCUUUACCAGUACCUGACAGUUUUCUUUCUUUCUUUUCAUAUUCUCAGCCAUUCAAAUAGGUGAGUGGUUUGUUAAUACUGGUCAUAUUUCUGUGUGUUUAUUUGUUAUCUGUAUAUCUUCAUUCCUAAUGUGUUAGUUUAAAUCUUUUAUUCAUUAUUUAAAAUUGUGUCUUGUUAUUAUGAUUAUUAUCAUUGAGAUUUAAGAGGUCUUUAAAUACACUGGAUACAAAUCCAUUGUGAGACCCGUGAUGUGUUAAUAUUUUCUCCCAAUUUGUGUCUUGUCUGUUCAUUUUCUUACCAGUGUUUUGCAGAGAAUGGGAGUCCUCCAUGUC
rnacentral:lncRNA from 1 species